UUUAAUUGGACUCAACGCCGGACAUCUCACCAGCUCCGACUACAGUGAUGACGACCAGGUUGAUGACCUCGUCACGACGCUGUAGAGAGGAGGUGCAUGGCCGCCGUCAGCUCGUACCGUGAGGCGUCCUGUUAAGUCGUGCAACGAGCGAGACCCGCACCCCUAAUUGCCAGCAACAAUUUCCAUUGGUUGGGUACAUUAGGAAGACUGCCAGUGUUAAACUGGAGGAAGGAACAGGCAACGGUCGGUCAGUAGUCCCCGAAUGAGCUGGGCAACACGCGGGCUACAAUGGAUAAUGACUAUGGGUCGCUAUUCCGACAGAGAACGCUAAUCGCAAACUUACUCNUAGUUCGGAUUGAGGACUGAAACUCGCCCUCAUGAAGCUGGAUUCGGAGUCGCCGCCUUCAGUUGACGCGACGAAUACGUCCCUGCUCCUUGCACACACCGCC
rnacentral:rRNA from 1 species